GAUGAACGCUGGCGGCGUGCCAAAUACAUGCAAGUCGAGCGAAGCGGGGACGGGUGAGUAACACGUGGAUCACCUCCUAUAAGACUGGGAUAACUUCGGGAAUCAGGAGCUCAACCGGAUACUUAUAGAUGGAUCCGCGCUGCAUUAGCUAGUUGGUAAGGGAACGGCUGACCAGAGCAACAAUUCAUAGCCGACCUGGGAGGGUGAACGGCCACAUUGGAGCUGAGACACCAUCCAGACUCCUACGUGAGGCAGCAGUAGGGAAGCUUCCGCAAUGGGCGAAAGCCUGACGGAGCAACGCCGAGUAAGUUAUGAAGGGCUUCGGAUCGUAAAACUCUCAUAAUAGGGAAGCGGGAACGAAAGAGAAAGCCCCGGCUAACUACGUGCCAGCAGCCGCGGUAAUAG
rnacentral:rRNA from 1 species